CCAGGUGCACAGGAAGAGGAAGAUGAAGAAGUACACGGCCGAGGUCAUCGAGGGCAGCAUGACGCCUGCAGACGCGGGAACAGAGGAUGUAAAGUCCAGAGGACUGUUGCUCCAAUAUCUGACCAGGGUUAUCUUUGACAUAAUGUAUCUGCAGCGUCAGUACCAGGUUGGCAGGAUGCAGCACAUCGCAACACUUUAAAUGGACGUCAGCUCCUCGUCGUCCUCGUCCUCGUCCUCCUCCGCCUCGUACCCGGCCUCGAAGUCCUCCUCCAGCAGGAUGUUGUCGUCCAGGCUCAGCUUCUCCUCUUCCUCCUGGGGGGCGGAUUGCGACACACAGGUGACGGAAUGGAGUCCGUGUUGUACUGCGCCAUUUCCUCGGGCGGCCUCUUCUGGACCAGACUGCGGCACAGCAGCCAGAUGGCCAGGCCGGCCACGAACAUGCCGAUGUCCGGGAUGAACACGCGGAUGCCGUUCCCCGCG